UAGGGAAUCUUCCACAAUGGACGCAAGUCUGAUGGAGCAACGCCGCGUGAGUGAAGAAGGUUUUCGGACCGUAAAGCUCUGUUGUUGGUGAAGAAGGAUAGAGGUAGUAACUGGCCUUUAUUUGACGGUAAUCAACCAGAAAGUCACGGCUAACUACGUGCCAGCAGCCGCGGUAAUACGUAGGUGGCAAGCGUUGUCCGGAUUUAUUGGGCGUAAAGCGAGCGCAGGCGGAAGAAUAAGUCUGAUGUGAAAGCCCUCGGCUUAACCGAGGAAUUGCAUCGGAAACUGUUUUUCUUGAGUGCAGAAAG
rnacentral:rRNA from 1 species